GACGAACGCUGGCGGCGUGCUUAACACAUGCAAGUCGAACGGAAAGGCCCUGCUUGCAGGGUACUCGAGUGGCGAACGGGUGAGUAACACGUGGGUGAUCUGCCCUGCACUUCGGGAUAAGCCUGGGAAACUGGGUCUAAUACCGGAUAGGAGCCAUUUUUAGUGUGAUGGUUGGAAAGUUUUUUCGGUGUAGGAUGAGCUCGCGGCCUAUCAGCUUGUUGGUGGGGUAAUGGCCUACCAAGGCGGCGACGGGUAGCCGGCCUGAGAGGGUGGACGGCCACAUGGGGGGUGAGAUCCGCCCCAGCCUCAUGGGGGGGGGAGGGGGGGGAAAUUUGGCAAAGGGGGCGCAGCCUUGGUGCAGCGCCGCCGGGUGGGGGAUGCCGGCCUGGGGUUUAAAAACUCCUUUCGCGGGGAACGAAGUUUUUUGGGAGGGUCCUUAAAAAGAAACCCCCGCCAACCUCCGG
rnacentral:rRNA from 1 species